AUAUUGUACUAUGGAGGGAACUCUGAUGCAGCAACGCCGCGUGAGUUAAGAAGGUUUUCGGAUCGUAAAACUCUGUCAUUGGGGAAGAAUAAAUGACGGUACCCAAUGAGCAAGCCACGGCGAACUACGUGCUAGCAGCCGCGGUAAGACGUAGGGGGCGAGCGUUGUCCGGAAUUACUGGGCGUAAAGGGGACGUAGGCGGCUAUAUAAGUCAGGUGUGAAAUACCAGUGCUUAAAACUGGAAUUGCAUUUGAAACUGUGUAGCUUGAGUGCAGGAGAGGAAAGUGGAAUUCCUAGUGUAGCGGUGAAAUGCGUAGAGAUUAGGAGGAACACCAGUGGCGAAGGCGACUUUCUGGACUGUAACUGACGCUGAGGUACGAAAGAGUGGGUAGCGAAC
rnacentral:rRNA from 1 species